GAUGAACGCUGGCGGCGUGCCUAAUACAUGCAAGUCGAGCGAACAGAUGAGGAGCUUGCUCCACUGACGUUAGCGGCGGACGGGUGAGUAACACGUGGAUAACCUACCUAUAAGACUGGGAUAACUUCGGGAAACCGGAGCUAAUACCGGAUAAUAUAUUGAACCGCAUGGUUCAAUAGUGAAAGACGGUUUUGCUGUCACUUAUAGAUGGAUCCGCGCCGCAUUAGCUAGUUGGUAAGGUAACGGCUUACCAAGGCGACGAUGCGUAGCCGACCUGAGAGGGUGAUCGGCCACACUGGAACUGAGACACGGUCCAGACUCCUACGGGAGGCAGCAGUAGGGAAUCUUCCGCAAUGGGCGAAAGCCUGACGGAGCAACGCCGCGUGAGUGAUGAAGGUCUUCGGAUCGUAAAACUCUGUUAUUAGGGAAGAACAAAUGUGUAAGUAACUAUGCACGUCUUGACGGUACCUAAUCAGAAAGCCACGGCUAACUACGUG
rnacentral:rRNA from 1 species